AUGGCACUGCAGAAACUCUUCCACAUCUCAGUUUUCCUGCUAGUAUGCGCAGCCAAGGCAAUCAACCCUGAAGCUGAAGCACUACUCCGAUGGAAGUCCACUUUGAUUGGUGCCAACCCGUUGCCCUCGUGGUCAAUUGCCAACUCUACGUGCUCUUGGUCUGGCGUCACCUGUGACGCUGCCGGACAUGUUACCAAGCUCCACCUUUCCGGCUUUGGGCUCCAUGGUACGCUACACGCCUUCUACUCUGCUGCGUACCAGAAUCUCAUCAAGAUCAAACUCAACAGCAAUAAUCUUGUUGGCACCAUCCCAGCAAACAUAUCCCUUUUGCCCACGCUCACCAUUUUGGACUUGAGCAACAACAAUCUUGUCGGUGCCAUCCCCUACCAACUCAGCAAGCUACCAAUAAUUGCUGAGGUUAAUCUGGGAAAUAACCAAUUGACUAACCUAGAAUAUGACAAGUUCUCGCCUAUGUUCAGCCUGAAGCUAUUAUCUCUAGCUAACAAUGAUCUCAGUGGAACCUUCCCACAAUUUAUCCUCAACUACACCAAUGUGAGGAUGCAAUUCCUUGAUUUGUCAGGUAAUGACUUCUCAGGGCUGUUACCAGAUUCACUGCCGGAAAUGGUCCCAAGGUUGAGGUAUCUAGAUCUGUCAGCUAAUGGAUUCUCUAGCUUGAUACCUCGCUCACUCUCGAGGCUCCAGAAGCUUGAGCUUCAGUUACUAGAGCAACUCAAUAUCAGAAAUGCUGGUUUGGUUUCUACUCUUCGACCCGAGCUGGGGAACCUUACUAAUCUCGAGCACUUGGACCUGGCACAUAACCAACUAUUUGGAAGUUUGCCACCAUCUUUGGCCAGGAUGCAAGCAAUGUCCUGGUUCAUUGUACAUGACAACUAUAUCGAUGGUACCAUCCCGGCAGAGCUGUUUUCAAACUUGACCAACCUCGCGGUAUUCGAUGUAGCCAAAAACUUGUUAGCUGGAAGCAUCCCAUCGCAGAUUGGUAACUGUAAAGAGAUAAUCACUCUCCUCCUUUCAAACAACAACUUUACUGGUUCCAUCCCAGUAGAGAUGGGCAGCUUGCCGAACUUGCAGUUUUUGGUCAUGUCAAAGAAUCACUUUACUGGAGUGAUACCAUCUCAUAUCGGCAAUGCAACAUCUUUGAAAUUCCUUGCCAUCAGAUCCAACCACCUUGACGGAGAGCUUCCUGCAACCAUGUCCGCGCUGAUAAAUCUUGUUGCUCUCAUCUUGUCUGGCAACAAGUUUACGGGUAUCAUACCUAAUAUUGACAACAGGCAGUUGCCGUCUGUCAAGGCGGCCAAAAAUAAAAACAACAGCAGCUUCAUGGGAGAAUUGCCAUCUGCCUUUUGUCAGUUAACACUUUUGCAACUCUUGGAUCUAUCAAACAAUCAGUUGUCUGGUGAGUUUCCUGGUUGCUUUUGGUACUUGAAAGAUUUGCAAUCCUUAGAUUUAUCGAGCAAUGCUUUUGCUGGUGAAAUUCCUACCUCAAGUUGUAAUUCUUCACUAAGGUCCCUGCACCUAUCAGACAACAACUUUACAGAAAGUUUCCUCAACUUAUCCUUCAUGAGGCAGGCACCCACGGUGCAGCCAGGUAUAAAAAUCAUCCUACAAUAUGCCACCUUUGGAUAUAUAUACAGUGGCACUAUGGUCGUAAUUUGGAAAGGACAGGAUUACAUUUUCCGGGGAAGAGAUGCAUUUGUGACAGGUAUUGAUCUCUCUGCCAAUUCUCUUUUUGGUGUUCUACCUCUGGAGUUGACAAAUCUUAGAGGCAUCCAGUUACUAAAUAUGUCAAGAAAUUGUCUAUCUGGUAGUAUUCCGAAGGAUAUCGGCAGCCUAAAGUUUUUAGAAUCUCUUGACCUCUCUUGGAACAAGAUAUCAGGUCCUAUUCCUUCUAGCAUAUCAAACCUGAUAUUCCUCAGUUCCCUUAAUCUCUCGAACAAUCUUCUAUCGGGACGGAUACCUACAGGGAAUCAACUCCAAACAUUGGAUGACCCGUCAAUUUAUAGCAAUAACCUGGGACUUUGUGGCUCUCUAUUGAACAUUUCAUGUAAACAUGGUUCAAGUCCAACGACCACAUCGGAUGUGGGAAAGGAAUAUCAUGAUGAACUUGAAACCAUGUGGAUGUACUACUCAGUGAUUGCUGGAACAAUAUUUGGUUUCUGGAUAUGGUUUGGCACAUUGUUUUUCUGGAAGCCCUGGAGAUGUGCUUUCUUGAGUUGCAUAGAUGCCAUGCAACAGAAAGUUAUGAGGAAGAUGAAGCAUAUCCGAGAGUAG
rnacentral:rRNA from 1 species